GGAAGAAAUAAAUUUAUGUCACCUGCAACCUGCCUUCUGUUUUGUACCAGUAAAAGAUUCUGCCCUUGCUAGGGUUGUGAGCCCACCCUCCCUCAGAGCCCUGCGGCUUUUCCAGGAAGCAGGGAGGUGAGGUAUGGAGCUAGCACUGCAGCAGUCGUGUGGGAGAGCAGGAUGGUGGCUGAGUAAUAAAGAUCCUGGCUGCUGUUUUCUGGAGGGAGAAGGCCUGGCUUGCUAAGCAAAGUAAGAUGGAAAGAAGUAACUGGAGAGUAGCUUGUCACACCCACCCAGCCUGACAGCCCAACAGGUUUACAAGUGGGAACACUGCCAGUCUAGCCAUCAGGACUGAAAGCUCAGUGGAACAAGCUUGAACUGACAGCUGGCUUUUAAAUAUCCACAGAACUUUCUGCAUGGUGUUGUGGCUGGCCCAGGCUUUGCAGAGACUGCUGCUGCUGCCCACAGUGGUGUCAACUAGAACUGAAAAUGGGAACCGCUCAUCCUUGCCUACUGUCUGUGUCUACCCAGUGUCUUUUCCUCCAGAGCAGGGGUUGCUGGAUAGAAUGCCAUAGAUGCGUCAAGAACAGCCUUCACUGUAAUCUCCACACUCUUAGACAGGGGUUCAUCUGAGCAGAGGACUAAAUCCUUUCUUGGCAUGUGGGCUAAAGUCUCUUGGCAAAGAAACGGAGGUCCCAGCUCAUCAGAAAUUCUAUCUUCGGCAGCCAUGAGCAGAUGGAUUGGAGUUUCUUGGGGUCGAGCAUUUGCACUUGUCCACCUCCACCUCCAAACUGGAUAUUUAUAGUAGAAAAACAAUCUGUUGGUUGGGAAGAGCAAGGAACCCUCAUGGCAGCAUGGGGUGGUGCAGAGAAAAUGUGGUGGGAGUUCUGAUCUUCUUGAACUUCUAUGUGCCCAAUGCUCAUUGUCUUUGACUUCACUACAAUGAAGCUUUGGAAUCUUUGGGGCAUUUUUUUCUUACCUUUUGAGAGUUCCAUUUUUAUAUUUGCAAAAUGACAGAUUAGAUAAGAUGAUCAGGUUUAUAGUGUUGGUGACAGGCAUAAAGUGACAUGGCCCCUGCUAAUAAAGAAAGAUAAGGCUAGAAACUCAGUAACAAGUCAGUAUUUCCCAUUACUAGUAUAUCUAGAAGCCGACAAGCUUGUGCUUAUUCAUCCCUACCUACAUGCCAGGGACUGAUAGCACAUGUUUGGGAUGUGAGAAGCCAGAAUUAGAGAUAUUAUCUCUGGCCCUAGACUAGAGCAAAACCAAUCAAAUCCUGCAGGCCAGAAUCUAGGAUUCAUCAAAAGGAUGCUUCAACCUACUAAACUCACAAAUUCUGGGUGGUACCAGGAAAAGAUUCUCUUUUUGGCUGCAAAAUCUUAAAGAUUAAACAAAAGUAAAGCAAUAUUCUAAAAUAUUAUCUCAUGACUUUUCCUUUAUAGGUAAUGCCUUUUUACCUACAACUCUUUCACCUUUGAAACUAGACCAUCAGGCUGAAGCUAAUUGCCCCAGGGCACCAUAGAACCUCUUGAGAACCAAGACUUAGAGUAUUGUUUUUGAGUUCUUGAAAGCCAAUAUUUGCUAUUGCAAGAGCUAGGACUCACUGUAGUUAUUGCUGCAUUGUUUUCGUUUUAAUAUCAAAACUUAGCUUUGACUGUGGCAAGAAAAGGCUGAAGGACUCAAGCAUAGAAUUUACACUACAAAUUAGAGGAAGAAGUUCCUAAGGAUGUAAAGACAGUUGCACCAUCACACAGAGAAGAGGUAGGACCUUUUCUAGACUUGAGAGAAAAUCCUGAAGAAGAUGGGAAGAUGACUACAAACAAGUUUCAGUGGUAAGUAUUGGCCAUGCUCCAUGUUCUACUUUGAGGUUGAAACCCUGGGAGAGGGGGUGGUGGAGAACUCCACAUAGUGAGCCAAGAGGCCUUUACCAUGCUUCUUGCCUGGACUAGUAGUAUCAGUGUUCUUGCCUGGACCCAGAGGACCACACCACUAUGGAGAGUUGUGUAGAUGAAAGGUGUAAUGGUUUGAAUGCUUAUAUCCUCCAAAACUCAUGUUGAAAUUUAAUUGCCAUUGUAACAGUAUUAAGAGGUGGAACCUUUACAAGGUGAUUAAGCCAUAAGGGAGGGCUCCACCCUUAUGAAUGGAUUAAUGCCACUAUCAUGGGAUUGGGUUCAUUAUAAAAGGGUUAGUUCAGCCCCCUUUUCUCCUCUUAACCUCUCUCUGCCCUUCUGCCAUUUCUGUGCCUUCUACAAUAUGAUGGCAUGCAAAAAAGCCCCCCCAACCCCCGAGAUGCCAGCACCUUGAUCUUGGACUUCCCAGUCUUCAGAACUAUGAGAAAUACCUUUUUGUUUAUUACAAAUUACUGUCUCAGCUAUUCUGUUAUAGCAGCAUAAAAUAGACUAAGGCAACAUGAUAGGUAUGGGCAAAGAGAGGGCCAGAGGAAAUAAUUCCUCCUACCUCAACCCCCUAGACUGCCUCCCUAAGGGUGUGGAAGAGAUCUCAUGUGCCCGAGUAGAACACAGGUGGCCAUAGUUUGAAAUCCAGGAGACCUUCCAGGGUAGCCAGGGGAAGGAGAGCCCAGGUAGGAGCUGAGCUGGCAUUGAAGCCUCAGAAAGCCACAGUGCCUGUGAGAGCUGAAGUAGGAGCCCAGCUGGCUAGAGGAGCCUGUUGAGCUGACCCAGGACAAUGACAAGCAUCCUGCAAGAAUUGCGAGACACCCAGCAGCAGGCAGCAGCAGAGAAGAGAGCCGGCUGCCAAGGUCAUGCACAAUUUCCACUCCUGCCCAUACCCAGAACUUAAGAGACCCCUGAUAGGACUGAGACAGUGACUAACAGGGGGCUAGCAGGUCUAAGAAAGCUCAUGGGACAGAAGAGGAGGGCACUGGGAGACUGCAUGGACUGGUCAGUGGAGGCCAUAGUAGAGCAGUGGUCAACUAGUGGAAACAACCUUAGUGGAAACAAGCAAGGCAAAAGGAUGGCUUAGAUACCAAAUACCCCCUUCCCCUCAUUCCUGUAGCAUUCAGGGUGUCCUCUGACUGUACAUGGGCAGGCAUGGUGAGGGUCAGCCACUAUUUGAGACACAGAAAAGGGAAAGGACAUCUCCAGUUGAGAUAGUUCAUGCAAAGAUUACAGAACUGAUUGAUCAAAUUCAGACAAAUAUGUGCUGUAGAGAACUGCAGGAUCAACCAUGUCAUAAGACAGGCCAGCUCACCCUGCCCAGAAUGACACACCAGAAGAGCCAGCACAGGGAAGCCAAGGAGUGUGGGGAUCUAGUCCAGAAGACGUGGAGCUGUGUGACCUGGACACCUUUCUUGACCCUAUUAGGCUCAAAUACCUCAUCUGUAAUACAAACCUUAAUGGGUGCUAUUAAUGGCUAAAUUGUAUCCCUCUAAAAAGAUAUGUUGAAGUUCUAAUCCCCAAUGCCUCAGAAUGUGACCCCAUUUGGAGACAGGAUUUUAACAGAGGUAACCCAAUUAAAAUGAGGUAAUUGGGGUAGGCCCAAUCCAAUGUGACUGGUGUCCUUAUCAAAAGGGGGAAUUUGGACACAGAUGCAGACAUGACAGAGGGAAGAUGAUUUGAUGACAUGCAGGGAAAAGGCAGCCACAUGACUGGAGUGAUACCUCUACCAGCCAAGGAAUGACAAGAAUUGCAGAGAAACACCAGAAACCAGAAGAAGCAAGGGAGGAUUCUCCCUUAGAGACAUCAGAAAGAGCAUGGGCCUGCUGACACCCUGAUUCUGGACUUGGACUUCUGGCUUGCAGAACCGUGAGACAGUAAAUUACUGUUGUUUUUAGCCAUCCAGUUUUUGAUACUUUGUUAUGGCAACCCAAGGAAACUAAUAUAGGUGGCCUGCAAGGUUUGAAUGUGUGAUGUAUGAAAAGCAUCAACUACAUAACAGAUUCUAAAACACUGAAAAUUAUAACAAUAAAUACUCGCUAUUUGAUGCUUAAACCUCUUUAUGACUCUGGGCUCAAGGGCCUAGGAUCUUCUGGUUCAAAGAUAACCUUGGUUGGUACCAACAUUUUUACUCAUAAUAAUUGGCAUGUGAUAAUAAUAACAGGAAGUUCUCAAUAUUCUCCAGCCUACAGCCACAUUUUAAAAAAAGUUUGGUUUAAUUUAUUUUA
rnacentral:lncRNA from 1 species